UACGGAGGUGGCAAGCGUUGCUCGGAAUCACUGGGCGUAAAGGGCGCGUAGGCGGGGAGGUAAGUCGGGUGUGAAAUCCCCUCGGCCCAACCGAGGAACUGCGCCCGAGACUGCUUCUCUUGAGUCCCGGAGAGGAAGGUGGAAUUCCCGGUGUAGCGGUGAAAUGUGUAGAGAUCGGGAGGAACACCGGUGGCGAAGGCGGCCUUCUGGACGGUGACUGACGCUGAGGCGCGAAAGCGUGGGGAGCAAACGGG
rnacentral:rRNA from 1 species